GACGAACGCUGGCGGCGUGCUUAACACAUGCAAGUCGAACGAAGUGGCGAACGGGUGAGUAACGCGUAAUCAACCUGCCCUUCCGAGGGGGACAACAGUUGGAAACUACUGCUAAUACCGCAUACUUAAGGAGGGGCUUGCGUCUGUUUAGCUAGUUGGAGGGGUAACGGCCCACCAAGGCGAUGAUCAGUAGCCGGUCUGAGAGGAGGAACGGCCACAUUGGGACUGGGACACGGCCCAGACUCCUACGGGAGGCAGCAGUGGGGAAUCUUCCGCAAUGGACGAAAGUCCGACGGAGCAACGCCGCGUGAGGGAUGACGGCCUUCGGGUUGUAAAGCUCUGUUAAUCGGGACGCGGUACCGGAAUAGAAAGCCACGGCUAACUACGUGCCAGCAGCCGCGGUAAUAC
rnacentral:rRNA from 1 species